GACGAACCGUACAAACGUUAUUCGGAAUCACUGGGCUUAAAAGGGUGCGUAGGCGGGCGCGGAAAGUAGGGUGUGAAAUCCCUCGGCUCAACCGAGGAAUUGCGCCCUAAACUACCGUGCUCGGAGGGAGAUAGAGGUGAGCGGAACUUAGGGUGGAGCGGUGAAAUUCGUAGAUAUUGGGAGGAACACCGGUGCGAAGGCGGCGAUCUGGGGUGGUGACUGACGCUGAGGCGCGAAAAGCGUGGGGAGCAAACAGGG
rnacentral:rRNA from 1 species